UAAGAGUGACAGAUAAGAGAGGAGGUUUUGGCACUAAGCACCGGGCUGCUUCAGAGACAGCUGUGCCCAAACAGAACACAGCUCCACCGAUCUAAUCCCCUCAGAUAACAGAGCAGUUAUAUUUAAAGAGAGUCAGGGAGGUAGGGGCACCUUGACCUUUGACACUGAAGCCUCAGACGGCAUCAUACAGUCUAUCAUCUGACGCUUAUCUGUUCUGGACCAAACUCUUGCAUCUAUCCAGAAUCACCUGGAGGAUUUGUUGAACAGGUGACGCUGAAGCUCCCUGUCCAGUCCGGGCCUUGACUUUGAGAACCAUUGCUGUGACAGCUGGGAAUAAACAAAAUCAGCCUUGCCCGCGGGGAGCUAAGGCGAAAUGAAGGCCCCGCGAGUUCCAAAGCACCGAAAAUGGGACCGUGCUCUCGUUGGAGGAGUCAAAGAAAAGGCCACCAAACUCGGGGAGCAGGACAGAAGAUACUCUGAGUCCCACUGAAAUUUACACUCCUGAGAAGCCCAAACUCGGCAGCUCCUCCGCUCUGGGCAGAUUCGGAGCCUCUGAGAAGGUGAGACAUUCAACCCCCAAGAUUUUUUUUUUUUUUCCUUAAGACACGCCGUUUGUCCUCCCUUCCCGGGGUGCAAAACACACCCAAAGGCACAAAGUGAAAACAACUGUACGGGAGGAGGAACCGGCUGCCGCCCCCCUUGCAACGCCCCCCGCUCCCCAUGGCGGGACCGUCCGCUAGCCAGCCCUGACCUCCCCGCCAGGUCGAGUUGGCGCUGUCGUCCCCCGUCGCCCUCGCCCUCCCCGCGGCCAGCAGCCAGAGUCACAGCCUCCCGCGCGCAGCCUCCCGGACGCGCCGCCGCCCCCGCGCACUGGCCCCGACUUCGCGCAGGCGCCGCAGCCGGCGCUCCCGGGCAGCUCGGGCAGGGGACGGGGGCGGACGACUCACCCACCGCCGCAGGGGGACUCCCGCGGCCAGCGGGAGCCAGUGGCAGCCCGAGACUGGGCCGGCCGUGCCAGGCGGCCAGCAGGCAGCAGAGGAGCGUGCCCAGCAGCGCCAUCGCGGGCCGCGGCCGAGGGCCUGGGAGCCUCUGCUCGUCCCGCGGCUCCACACGGACGUCGGGUCCGGGGCCGGGGAGGAGGUGGAAGACCUCUUCGGGUGUAGACGCCCAGCGGUCACGUGCGAGGGCAGAUUCCGCAACGAGUCGGUUCACUGGACCUUUCGCAGCUGUUUAAAGAUUAUCUGUAUUUUAGUUUCUUAGCGUCAGUGACUGCCCUGAGGAGGAAUGUGCUUGGGGCCACCUGGCACAGACCAUCUUGCCUAAAUGCCACCUGGCUCUAAGUGCGUGGGGCUUCUCCGCGGAAGUGAUGCAGAAAACCUCGAAGUGUCUUGAUCUGGGCGAGAUGAGCAGAGGUUUUGGAAAGUAUACUGUAUCUCAGAGUGUGGUCCUCGGAACAGCAUUGUCAGCACUACCCGGAAGGUCUAAUUAAAAAUGAACAUUUCCAGGCCCACCCCAGACCUAUUAAGCCACUAGCUCUAUGGGUGAAGUCCAGUCCUUUGCUAAAGCUGUUAGAGCAGGCAGAUAGCUAGAUAUGAGCUGAGAAAGGGGUACACAGACCAAAUGGCACGAAUUGGGCAGAAAGGAGGGGCACAAGCCAAAUGCAGGAAACCACACGUCAUGUAAGCAGUAGGGGUCCCUGGACAGAGAAAGAAAAGCAGGAACCUUUGGACUGACAAGGGGCUACCCACAUCUUUUGGGGUGAAGAGUGGCCUGGAGACCAACAAAGAAAGGUGAGAAAAGUCAGGAAUUUCCAGGGUCCGAAAGUAACCUUUUGCUUAUUAUGCCCUCAUUUCAAUAAAAUUAGCCUUGCAGAUCAGAAGUACCCAUCAUGCACCGAUGCCAUGACCCUUCUGAUCCAGACUAAGGACUAAAUUUCCCUCCUCCCUUUGGGAAGGUGGAGUUGGGAUGAUAAUCAGGGAAUGCAACCCCAAACCCUUCCCUCCCCAAUGAAUAUUCUGCCCAUUCAUUUUUACACCCUAUGUAACUAACUUGCCAAAGAAAACUCAGGGCAGCCACUCACCUGAACCUGCCAGCUCUCCCCUUGAGAGUGUACUGUCCGUCCGUUAAUAAAUUCUUACUUUACUUUUUUAACCACUGA